rnacentral:lncRNA from 1 species
CUGGGCCUCUGGCACUGGCCUUGCUGAGGUGUGGUAGGCCCUGAUUGUGCUGUGCUGACAUCUUGCAGAAGCCUUGGUCCCUGCCCUGGGCUCUGGUCACAAGGCCCCACUGCUGCCUCCUGCUCCCUGAGACCUCUUCUGACCACACUCGCCCUCUGCACCUGCACCUGCCUAUGAUCUGAGGGAGAAGAGAAGAAAAUGAACAAAUUUGAAGGAAAACAAAAUAAAGAUCUCCUGUUUCUAACCACAUAUUCAGCAGAAAUGAGAAUUAAGAAGUCAAAUUGGAGCAGUGGACGGACCAC